rnacentral:snoRNA from 1 species
UCAUCAGUUAAUUUAUCUUAAAGAAACAAACAAAAAAGAACAUGAUGAUUGGAGUACACAUGAUUUGUGAUUAACGACUUGGGUUUCUGGU